rnacentral:rRNA from 1 species
GGGGGGGGGGGGGGGGGGGGGGGGGGGGGGCGGGGGGGGGGGGAGGGGGCUGGUGUGGUGGGGUGCGCGGGUGGCGGACGGGGGGGUGACCCGUGAGUACCCUGCCCUGGACGUUGGGAUGACUUCCGGACGCUGUGGCUCCUACCGGGUAGGCGCUCCUGCUGCAUCGUGUUGUGUUGAACUUUUCGGCUGGUGGGGAUGUACUCGCGGCUUAUCCGCUUGUUGGUUUGUUAGUGGCGUACCAAGUCUUUGACGGGUAGCCGGCCUCACAGGGUGACGGGCCGCAUGGGGACUGAGAUACGGCCCAGACUCCUACGGGAGGCAGCAGUGGGGAAUAUUGCACAAUGGGCGGAAGCCUGAUGAAGCAACGCAGAGUGCGGGAUGAAGGCCUUCGGGUGGUAAACCGCUUUCGCCUGGGACGAAGCGUGAGUGACGGGAAUGGGUAAAGAAGCACCGGCUAACUACGU